AUUGAACGCUGGCGGCAGGCCUAACACAUGCAAGUCGAACGAGUGGCGGACGGGUGCGUAAUGUCUGGGAAACUGCCUGAUGGAGGGGGAUAACUCCUGGAAACGGUAGCUAAUACCGCAUACCCUCGGAUGUGCCCAGAUGGGAUUAGCUAGUCGGUGGGGUAAAGGCUCACCUAGGCGACGAUCCCUAGCUGGUCUGAGAGGAUGACCAGACACAAUGGAACUGAGACACGGUCCAGACGACGAAGGGAGGCAGCAGGGGGGAAUAUUGCACAAUGGGCGCAAGCCUGAUGAAGCCAAGCCGCGUGUAUGAAGAAGGCCUUCGGGUUGUAAAGUACUUUCAGCGGGGAGGCGUUACCCGCAGAAGAAGCACCGGCUAACUCCGUGCCAGCAGCCGCGGUAAUUC
rnacentral:rRNA from 1 species